GGCUUAGAGUUUGAUCAUGGCUCAGGAUGAACGCUGGCGGCGUGCUUAACACAUGUAAGUCGAACGGACGUAAGGAGCUUGCUCCUUGCGUUAGUGGCGGACGGGUGAGUAACACGUGAGCAAUCUGCCCAUGUCAGGGGGAUAACAGUUAGAAAUGACUGCUAAUACCGCAUAUGACCACAGAGAGGCAUCUCUCAGGGGUGAAAGAUUUUAUCGGACAUGGAUGAGCUCGCGUCCCAUUAGGCAGUUGGCGGGGUAACGGCCCACCAAACCUACGAUGGGUAGCCGGCCUUAGAGGGUGAUCGGCCACAUUGGAACUGAGAUACGGUCCAAACUCCUACGGGAGGCAGCAGUGGGGAAUAUUGGGCAAUGGAGGCAACUCUGACCCAGCAACGCCGCGUGAGUGAUGAAGGUCUUCGGAUUGUAAAACUCUUUAAGUAGGGACGAAGAAAGUGACGGUACCUACAGAAUAAGCCUCGGCUAACUACGUGCCAGCAGCCGCGGUAAUACGUAGGAGGCAAGCGUUAUCCGGAAUGACUGGGCGUAAAGGGUGCGUAGGUGGUUUGGCAAGUUGGUAGCGUAAUCCCGGGGCUUAACUUCGGUGCUACUACCAAAACUGCUGGGCUUGAGUGCAGGAGGGGUGAAUG
rnacentral:rRNA from 1 species